rnacentral:rRNA from 1 species
GGGGGGGAUUGAACGCUGGCGGCAGGCCUAACACAUGCAAGUCGAGCGGGAACAUUUCUAGCUUGCUAGAAGAUGACGAGCGGCGGACGGGGGAGUAAUGCUUGGGAAUAUGCCUUAGGGGGGGGGACAACAGUUGGAAACGACUGCUAAUACCGCAUAACGUCUACGGACCAAAGGGGGCUUCGGCUCUCGCCCUUAGAUUAGCCCAAGUGGGAUUAGCUAGUUGGGGAGGGAAUGGCUCACCAAGGCGACGAUCCCUAGCUGGGUUGAGAGGAUGAUCAGCCACACUGGAACUGAGACACGGGCCAGACUCCUACGGGAGGCAGCAGUGGGGAAUAUUGCACAAUGGGCGCAAGCCUGAUGCAGCCAUGCCGCGUGUGUGAAGAAGGCCUUAGGGGUGUAAAGCACUUUCAGUAAGGAGGAAAGGGUAGUAGUUAAUACCUGCUAGCUGUGACGUUACUUACAGAAGAAGCACCGGCUAACUCCGUGCCAGCAGCCGCGGGAAUACGGAGGGGGCGAGCGUUAAUCGGAAUUACUGGGCGUAAAGCGUACGCAGGCGGGUUGUUAAGCGAGAUGUGAAAGCCCCGGGCUCAACCUGGGAACUGCAUUUCGAACUGGCAAACUAGAGUAUGAUAGAGGGGGGGAGAAUUUCAGGGGUAGCGGGGAAAUGCGUAGAGAUCUGAAGGAAUACCGAUGGCGAAGGCAGCCACCUGGGGCAAUACUGACGCUCAUGUACGAAAGCGUGGGGAGCAAACGGGAUUAGAUACCCCGGGAGUCCACGCCGUAAACGAUGUCUACUAGGAGCUGGGGGCUUCGGACAACUUUUCCAAAGCUAACGCAUUAAGUAGACCGCCUGGGGAGUACGGCCGCAAGGGUAAAACUCAAAUGAAUUGACGGGGGCCCGCACAAGCGGGGGAGCAUGUGGGUUAAUUCGAUGCAACGCGAAGAACCUUACCUACACUUGACAUACAGAGAACUUACUAGAGAUAGUUUGGGGCCUUCGGGAACUCUGAUACAGGGGCUGCAUGGCUGUCGUCAGCUCGUGUUGUGAGAUGUUGGGGUAAGUCCCGCAACGAGCGCAACCCCUAUCCUUAGUUGCCAGCGAUUCGGGCGGGAACUCUAAGGAGACUGCCGGGGAUAAACCGGAGGAAGGGGGGGACGACGUCAAGUCAUCAUGGCCCUUACGUGUAGGGCUACACACGUGCUACAAUGGCGCAUACAGAGUGCUGCAAGCUCGCGAGAGUUAGCGAAUCACUUAAAGUGCGUCGUAGUCCGGAUUGGAGUCUGCAACUCGACUCCAUGAAGUCGGAAUCGCUAGUAAUCGCGGAUCAGAAUGCCGCGGGGAAUACGUUCCCGGGCCUUGUACACACCGCCCGUCACACCAUGGGAGUGGGGUGCUCCAGAAGUAGGGAGCUUAACCUUAGGGAGGGCGCUUACCACGGAGUGAUUCAUGACUGGGGGGAAAA